rnacentral:rRNA from 1 species
GGAUGCGAUCAUACUAGCAGUAAAGCAUCAGAUCCCAUUGAAACUCAGAAGUUAAGCGUGCUUGGGCGAGACUUGUACUAGGAUGGGUGACCUCCUUGGAAGUCCUCGUGUUGCAUUCC